rnacentral:rRNA from 1 species
CACGUAGGGCGCAAGCGUUGUCCGGAAUUAUUGGGCGUAAAGAGCUCGUAGGCGGUCCGUCACGUCCGCUGUGAAAACCCAGGGCUCAACCCUGGGCUUGCAGUGGAUACGGGCAGACUAGAGGUAGGUAGGGGAGAAUGGAAUUCCCGGUGUAGCGGUGAAAUGCGCAGAUAUCGGGAGGAACACCGGUGGCGAAGGCGGUUCUCUGGGCCUUGACUGACGCUGAGGCGCGAAAGCGUGGGGAGCAAACAGG